UACGUAGGGGCCGAGCGUUGGCCGGAGGUAUUGGGCGUAAAGCGCGCGCAGGCGGCCUCGCGCGCCCGACGGGAAAGCCCCCGGCUUAACCGGGGAGGGUCGUUGGGGACGGCGGGGCUUGAGGGCGGGAGAGGUCGGUGGAAUUCCCGGUGUAGUGGUGAAAUGCGUAGAGAUCGGGAGGAACACCUGUGGCGAAGGCGGCCGACUGGGCCGACCCUGACGCUGAGGCGCGAAGGCGUGGGGAGCGAACGGG
rnacentral:rRNA from 1 species